UUGAAAAGAGUGUAUAUAUUCAUAUGAGAAGUUAGGUUUGAACUCCCUAUAUUAUUUUUCAUUAAAUUUUAUUUUAUCAUUCUAAAUUACGUCAAAUACCAUAUGGAAAAAUUAAAUUAUUUAAUGCCCAAAAAGGGGCAAGCCAGGGCAGAUUGUGCAAGGGCUGUAUAGCCAGUAAAAGUCGUUAAAAACUUCCAUUUGUUUGUUUGAACUCGGUUUAGGUCGUUAAAAACUUCCAUUUGUUUGUUUGAACAUGUUCAAGUGGAAACCUUUUGGGUAUGUGCUCAUUCUUAUUAAUUGAAAGGAAUAUAUAAAUAAAGGAACUUAUGUCGGAAAAACAGUAACUGUGGUAAUAAUAUUAUACAAUUUCCUUUAGUCUGAUUAUUGUGGAUAUAUUAUUAUUUAUGGGGUACAAAUUUUCGUGUGAAUUGAUAAACCAUGUAUUUAAAUUACAACAAAGUACAAAAAUUGUAUACUUUUAAGCCUUUAUAAACAAGACCAGGAAAUAAAAUAUCCACAAAUUCAAAUUAUUUUUUUCCUUAAUCAAUAAACGUGAAUAAAUCUACAGUAUUUCAGAUUUCAAAUAGAUAAGCUGGUAAUACUAUUGAGGAAAAUUUGUUCUGAUUGUGAUUUUUUUGUACAAAAGGGUUUAGUGGAUGUACAUACACACAUUUUUUUAUUCCUUUAUGUCAUUAGUGCUGUAUCUUCCUAAAUGUGAUAAGUUUUUCUGUAUUAGUACUAGGCACCUUGAGAAUUUUAUUAUAUAUAUAUAUAAUCUAUGCAUUGUAAAAAAUAUCACCCUUAAUUGUAAAUAUUUUUUCCUUAAAAAUUUACAAAUGUUAAGUUUGCGAGAGAUUUAUGAGAGGUUCUGACAUUUUGUGUUAUUUAUAUUCCAUUGCCUAUUUUUAUCCAUUGCUGAAACAUUCACAACAUUAUGAUGCUGUCUGGGUCAUGUCUGGAAGUAAUAAACAGUGUUGGUUUUUUGGUCAUUAAUAUAUAAGGCCAACAAUAUGUAUUAUUCUUUUUUCUUUUCCGUUGAAAAUUUUAACUGUUGGGAGUUAGAUCUCAACUUUCAAAUUAUAAUAGUUUGACGUAAUAUGAAUAUAUGAACCUAUAGCUAAGGAUUCGUGUUGAAGACCAAACUUUGACCUAUAAUGGUUUACUUUUACAAAUUGUGACUUGGAUGAGAGAGUUGGGUCUCUUGGCACUCAUACCACAUCUUCUUACAUCUACUAUACAUAUGGUUUAGAUGUAUUGGAUGAGAGAGUUGGGUCUCUUGGCACUCAAACCACAUCUUCUUAUAUCUACUAUACAUAUGGUUUAGACGUACAGCCAAUAUAUUGGGCAUUAUAUUCUGGGUAUUGUCUAUUGUCUAGUUUAGUCAGGGUUACCAAAGUUACUAUGUAGUUUACAUUUGUGUAAAAUCUUAUGAAUUAGUUGUCAAAAAUGUUCAGACUUGCAUAAUUAUUAAGAUUUCUGUUGAAUGUAUGAGUUCUUAUAGUCUUUCAUUUGAAUAUUAUGUUAAACGUGUCUUGAAGGUAUAAGAUUAUAUGUUGAAUGUGUCAUGAAGGUAUAAGAUUAUACGUUGAAUGUGUCAUGAAGGUAUAAGAUUAUAUGUUGAAUGUGUCAUUAUAUGUUGAAUGUGUCAUGAAGGUAUAAGAUUAUAUGUUGAAUGUGUCAUGAAGGUAUAAGAUUAUAUGUUGAAUGUGUAAUAAAUUGUGAGUAUGUGUCAUGAUAUGCUGUGUUUAUUUUAGUUGAAUGAUGUUUAGUUGAGUGAAAUGUGUCAUGAUUGGAGAUGUUUAUUUGAGUGGAAGUGUGUCAUGAUGGUCACUGUUUAUCUGUGUUAUGAUUUUGUGAUAUCUAUGAUUAUUUAUGAUUUUAUCAAAUGUCACAAUAAAAAGAAAUGAUGAUAAAUUUAUGUAUUUUUCUGGCCCAGACAAGUAAAUGCUGAAGAGAUGUUAGGUAUAUGAAUGUAUA
rnacentral:lncRNA from 1 species